ensembl:lncRNA
CUGCAGAAGCGUGAGCUGGUCUGCUGGUCUGCUAGGCGGCGCAAGGAAGCCCCAGCUGUACCCCAGAAACAGUGGGGAGCCUUAUCUACACAGUGGCUCCCAGCUAUCGCAGCUUCCAAGCAGCAAUCCAUGUAAACGGUAUCAAGAAGCCGCAGCAGCUACACCAUGACAUGAGAUCACCUAAAUUUGUAUUGGUCACAGAGCAUAGGAACUUCCAAAAGCUUGUUUCUGUUUGAUGUUUGCUGUUCACAGACGACCUGAAUGCUCUCUGUUGUCCCUGGAGGAAGCUGCCACCCACGGUCAAGGGAUGUCCACCUGGCCUGGCAGCGAGAGGACCCAGAGGAGAGGCAGAGCCAGGAGGUGCGGGAGACGCAGCCCGCUGGGCCAUCAGCUGCUUACUGCAUCUACCCAACGGGCGCUCAGCAUCCAGACUCCCUGUAGACACAAAACCAUCUUUUCUGCAAGAGGAGACCGCUUGUUCCUGAGCCUAGACUUCCUGUGGAGUUUGGAUAGAUCUGCAUUCUUCCAGGCCUGGCAGCCUCUCCCUGGGAGGUAAUGAAGAGCUCAGAUUCCAGGAGGGAUGAACUUGCCUUCUGGGAAACCCCUUCUAAGGGAAAGCAGAACCACUAACUGUUUUAAGACAUAGGCUUUCUUCAUUCAGUUUCAUUUUCUUCAAAUGAUUUUCUAGUAAAUUUUUUUUAAAAAAGCAUCUAGACAUUAAUUUACAUGAAGAAAUACAAAUAGUAUGAGACAGAAGAAAUACAUUUAUUCUUAUUAUCAUUUAUGAAAUGUGGCAAGUACUGCAAGACUUUGGAGAUCAUCACACCAAUAAAUACGGCCUUAAGAUGACAGUUUAUGGCUCGUCAGUUAACAAUUUAAAAAUAGUAACAUCCAUGCCAGGCUGUUAGGGUAAAACAGUUCACUCCUUCACUGGCUGUUCAUCAUUCCUACCUUCUGCAGAAGCAGUAGAAUGCAAUCUGAGAAACUGCAAUCUGGGUCUUUUAAACCCAGAUCCAACAGUCGGUUCCUGAAGUGGAGUCAAGGGUCUAGAGACAGUACUUGAAUUAAGACCCCUCCCCAAGUCAACCAGUGCUAAGGGCAAGGUGGACUUGGAGUGUUUCAAUUUAAACUCUGCCUUGAUGCUCCCUAAACUGCCCUGUGAAGUACAGUAUCACAUGGUUCGGGGUCAAUAAUCCAUGUUCCAUCACAGAGGAUAUGAUCAGUGGUUGCCAACCUACCAGUCAUUCCUAAAGGGUCUGAGUUUCUCUGCUAUGAUUUGUGCUAAUGAUUCCUCAUCCCUGUCUUCAGAGUGGGCCCCAAGUAGUCAAUAAGCCAACCAGUAUAGUCCCAUCUGCCCUGUUAUAGGGCUUCUCAGGUGGCUCAGGGGUAAAGAAUCUGCCUGCCAAUGCAGGAGANNNNNNNNNNNNNNNNNNNNNNNNNNNNNNNNNNNNNNNNNNNNNNNNNAACCCACUCCAGUAUUCUUGCCUGGGAAAUCCCAUAGACAGAGAAGCCUGUGGGCUACAGUCCACAGGGUCUCAAAGAGUUGGACAUGACUUAGAGACUGAAAAAUAAUGUUUAACAUGGUCUUACCUGCGUCACUUCCUGGAUGCAGGAAGAGCCAUUUGCCAGCCUGGCCCUAGAUCAUCACAGGCAGCCAAGCAGAGAAAAUGUUUGCCAUCAGCACAAGGUAUCGUCUCCGCAAGGACACAGCCCCACAUGGCCGACUCCAACCAUGGGAAGACGGAAUACUGUGGGGCUCACAUGGGUGGAGAGGGCUCUCAGUGCUGUAUGUGGACAAACUCAUCUAACACACACUGUGAUCUCUGCAAAGAAGACACUGGAAGAUGUAAUGUGCCAGUUUGAAUCCGGUUGGAGGGUUUGGGGCCAGGGCAUCCCCUGGCUGGGUGGUUCUUGGCCCUGGUGAUUAGGGCAGGUGGCAAGGGCCUGAGCGUCAGAGAUGUGAGUGUGGACUCUGGGUUGGUUGGUCUGCACUGAAAAGCCUCUCCUUGGCAAGCCGUUACCUCUAGGAACUGGCUACCCUGGGUGGACAGACUUUCUAGGGUGAGCAAAGCCUCAGAUACCCCAGAAUGUAAAAACAUGGUUAUUACAGAAGGGACAACAGGUCAGCAACUUGGCUUAAACUGAUUCAGUUCAGUCACUCAGCUGUGUCCAACUCUUUUCAACCCCAUGGACUACAGCACACCAGGCUUCCCUGUCCAUCACCAACUCC